CCUGACUGUGAUGACUCACUUGCCCUAUCUGAGAGAAACUGUUAUGAAACAAUCUUAAAUCCUCAUUUUAUUCUGAGUCAGU